rnacentral:rRNA from 1 species
GUUUGAUCAUGGCUCAGAUUGAACGCUGGCGGCAGGCCUAACACAUGCAAGUCGAGCGGCAGCGGGAGGAAGCUUGCUUCCUGGCCGGCGAGCGGCGGACGGGUGAGUAAGGUAUGGGGAUCUGGCCGAAGGCGGGGGAUAACCACUGGAAACGGUGGCUAAUACCGCAUAAUCUCUAAGGAGCAAAGUGGGGGACCAUUAGGCCUCACACCUUCGGAUGAACCCAUAUGAGAUUAGCUAGUAGGUGGGGUAAGGGCUCACCUAGGCGACGAUCUCUAGCUGGUCUGAGAGGAUGAUCAGCCACACUGGGACUGAGACACGGCCCAGACUCCUACGGGAGGCAGCAGUGGGGAAUAUUGCACAAUGGGCGCAAGCCUGGUGCAGCCAUGCCGCGUGUAUGAAAAAGGCCUUCGGGUUGUAAAGUACUUUCAGUCGUGAGGAAGGUGUUAAGGUUAAUAGCUUUAGCAAUUGACGUUAGCGACAGAAGAAGCACCGGCUAACUCCGUGCCAGCAGCCGCGGUAAUACGGAGGGUGCGAGCGUUAAUCGGAAUUACUGGGCGUAAAGGGCACGCAGGCGGUUAAUUAAGUUGGAUGUGAAAU